GGGCUUUUUUCCUCUGGACCUAAUGCGAUUGCUGAAGGAAUAAAACAGUGCCAUGUGCUGAGAUUUCUCAAGAUCAUCAUUUUGUUGACCAUCUGGGAAGAAUUCAUCUGUGCCAUUGGCAAGCUGGUGAUCAGGACUUGAAAAGUAAUAUAAAAAGAUGGCUUCUACUUGCAUCUGACAAGAGAGGGCCCGAAACAAGCAAAAUCUUUAUAAGUCUGUCCUUCUUUUAAGGUACACUUACUGAGGAGAUUCGAGAUGUUUUAUCGAUCACUUCCAUUUGUUAUUGUAAUGUUACAAUUCAAAUAAAUAUCUAAA